UCAACCUUGGUGUACACGGGUCGCUGCUCCUAGGAGAAAGAAGAGCGAAUGGGUGGACUUGUUUAUGUUUUCAGGCGCAUUUAUUACGGGAAUAAUUGAAAUGCGUCGUUUCUUUGUGGCACUUUGCCUGGCGCUGCUGUCUGUGCUCCAGCUGAGCAGCGACGAUGAUGUGGUUCUGUUGGCUUCAUUGGGUGAUGGCCUCCAGCUCACUCUUGAAUGGUUCGCAGCCGAGUGUGAAGCAGUGGGAAUGAGAAUUAGCACCUCCAAAUCUGAGGCCAUGGUUUUCAGCCAGAAAAGGCUCUACAGGUAAUUGGUGGAAGCGUGACAGUGUUUCAAGGAGAUACAGCAAUCUUACCUUGCAAACUCACUGACACCACGGAAGACUUGACACAGGUUA